AACGAACGCUGGCGGCAGGCCUAACACAUGCAAGUCGAACGCUCCGCAAGGGGGAGUGGCGCACGGGUGAGUAACACGUGGGAACCUACCUUCUGGUACGGAACAACCAAGGGAAACUUUGGCUAAAACCGUAUACGACCUCCGGGUGAAAGAUUGAUCGCCGGAAGAGGGGCCCGCGUCCGAUUAGGUAGUUGGUGAGGUAACGGCUCACCAAGCCUACGAUCGGUAGCUGAUCUGAGAGGAUGACCAGCCACACUGGGACUGAGACACGGCCCAGACUCCUACGGGAGGCAGCAGUGGGGAAUAUUGGACAAUGGGCGCAAGCCUGAUCCAGCCAUGCCGCGUGAGUGAUGAAGGCCUUCGGUU
rnacentral:rRNA from 1 species